UGGUUUUAAUUACGCGGGGGGGCGGCCGGGGGGGCGAGGGUGCGGGGCAGCGGCGGUUCUCGGCCCCGCAGCCCCGGCAGAUUUGGGGAAAGUGAGGCUGGGACCGGAGGGGGGGUGCAGAGAAAGGGACCCGGGCGCAGCCCAAACUCCGGCGCAGCCCGAACUCCGGCCGGGGCAGCGGCCCCCCCACCCCCGCGGCUCAGCGGCCCCCCCGCAUGCGGUGCGUUUUCGGGAGCGGUGCCCCCGGGCGCCGGGGGAGCUGACACAUGUCACCGGCCAAACUUUCCCGCGGCAAACGGCUCUCACUUUCCCACCGGGGCUGAAGCCGGGAGCCCCUCACCGUGGUGUCCGGCCUCUGAUGCCUGGCUUGGCCCCCAGCAGCCCAAGGAUGGUGGCCCUCUGAAGUGGCCCGGCACCCACACGGCUUCCAGCCUUCAGGAGAAAGUUCAUCGGAAAGCUAACAUGAAAUUUGUUUACUGUAAGACUGCCACUGUUGGUGGGGAUCACUGAGGACAAGGAGCAGUUGUAACAUAAAUAAAUCAGCACUCAGAGACGGAGGGUUCUGGUGACGUUUUGGUGGAUGCAGAAGACUUGCCGUCAUAUUCCCACGUUCCGGGAACAACAACUGUUACCGGGGCAGGGAAGAGCUGACCAGUCUGAAACAAGCAAAGAGGGAAGAGAAUCAGAAAAUGGACAAGAAUGAGUGAGCAUCUGGCUUUGUGAGUACAUUUGUGAAACAUCUGAGAGGCAGAGGAAGAUCUCUUCUCCAGUCCCUGAUCUACUGUGUAUUCAGAACUAACAGUGAAGGACAUGCUGCAGCAGAGAUUGCUUUUCAAAUUUCUGUCUAUGCAGUAAGCUGUUCCUUGCUUUUGGACUGUAAGAACAUAUAAUAUCUGGUUGAGCUUUUGUUGCAUAGCUUGGCGAUGGGAGAAGGAACAGCUUCAGGAGGGAGAUCAUCAUUCCUGAGGAAUAUCCCAUUACCUAUUGAGUAGUGCAU